rnacentral:rRNA from 1 species
GACGAACGCUGGCGGCGUGCUUAACACAUGCAAGUCGAACGGAAAGGCCCUGCUUUUGUGGGGUGCUCGAGUGGCGAACGGGUGAGUAACACGUGAGUAACCUGCCCUUGACUUUGGGAUAACUUCAGGAAACUGGGGCUAAUAUCGGAUAGGAGCUCCUGCUGCAUGGUGGGGGUUGGAAAGUUUCGGCGGUUGGGGAUGGACUCGCGGCUUAUCAGCUUGUUGGUGGGGUAGUGGCUUACCAAGGCUUUGACGGGUAGCCGGCCUGAGAGGGUGACCGGCCACAUUGGGACUGAGAUACGGCCCAGACUCCUACGGGAGGCAGCAGUGGGGAAUAUUGCGCAAUGGGCGGAAGCCUGAUGCAGCAACGCCGCGUGCGGGAUGACGGCCUUCGGGUUGUAAACCGCUUUCGCCUGUGACGAAGCGUGAGUGACGGUAAUGGGUAAAGAAGCACCGGCUAACUACGUG